rnacentral:lncRNA from 1 species
GCAAGAUUGAAAGAGGGUGCGAAUAUUCGAUAUUUUGGAUACAAAUCGAGUAGCCUUAGCUGUUCGAUUCAUAUUCAAUUCGAGAAUUCACUAUUCGAUGUUGCCGAAUAUUCAUUUCUAUUUGAAUAUAAGGGAUAACAAUACUUAUUUGAGUGAGUACG